CAGUAGCCGCGGUAAUACGUAGGGUGCAAGCGUUAAUCGGGAUUACUGGGCGUAAAGCGUGCGCAGGCGGUUCGUUAAGACAGAUGUGAAAUCCCCGGGCUUAACCUGGGAACUGCAUUUGUGACUGGCGGGCUAGAGUAUGGCAGAGGGGGGUAGAAUUCCACGUGUAGCAGUGAAAUGCGUAGAGAUGUGGAGGAAUACCGAUGGCGAAGGCAGCCCCCUGGGCCAAUACUGACGCUCAUGCACGAGAGCGUGGGGAGCAAACAGGAUUAGAUACCCGCGUAGUCCCUGUCUCUUAUAC
rnacentral:rRNA from 1 species